rnacentral:lncRNA from 1 species
AUGUCACAAGAUUAAUUUCAAUACAGUGUUGCAUUAACCUUUCACCAAGAUCUUUCUUUAAUGAUGGAAGAGUCUGACCGCUGCAAAAAGCCUUCUCCAGCACAUCCCAAAGAUUCUCAAUGAGACACCACUAUUUCACAAUUCUAGCCCCAUGAGUCCUGGCAUUGUCAUCUUGGAGUAUGCCCAUGCCAUCAGGAAAGAGAAAAAAUCCAUUGAUAGAAUAACCUGCUCAGCAUCCACAGUUUUAAUGCAAGGCAGGGCUUUACAGAGCUUCUGAAGGGACAAAGUGGUGAGCACCAGAUAGAGCAGCAGCGUGGGCCAUGCAGUGAUCAGCAACAUGUUCCAUGUGGCACGGCAGGCUCCUACUGAUCCCCUGCUGUCCCUUACUGACCUCUACUGACCCCUACAGGGUGAGAGGGUGCGUCUGGAGGGAGCAGAGCGGCACAGGAGGAGCCUUACAGUGGAUCUGGCGGCUGGAGUUUAGCUGCAGACAAGACAUCACUUCACCCCUUGUUUUACCUCCAGAAUGCAGGUCUGUGGAUAUGCUUAGGAAAGGUUCCUUUUUGUUUGGUUAAUUAACACACACACACCUUCAAUUAAAAAUAGUAAUAAAUUAAAUACUACUAAGUGUACCUCCUUUUAG